GUGCUCACUUUGGCAGCACAUAUACUAAAAAACUGGAACGAUACAGAGAAGAUUAGCACGGCCCCUGUGUGAGGAUGACAUGCAAACUCGUGAAGCAUUACAUGUUUUU
rnacentral:snRNA from 1 species